CUCUCCUUGUGUCUAGGUGACACUGUCAGUCAAAGACCCACGGGGGCUGGCGCUGCAGGAAGAAAUGGAAAUGGGACUUGGCACAGUUUAACCCCCGCCCCUACCACCACCAUGGCUUAUCACCUAUACAAGGGAGUUCAGCAUUGAAGAAAAGAAAAAGGAGCAGAUGAAAAGAUUUGAUUUUGAUAUUCUCCUAGAUUUCUGACCAGACUUGGGUUGAAAUGCCGAAUUACCAUGUGAAAACCCAGUGGCAGGGUACCGUCUUCUAAUUUAAAGCAAAACAAGAAAAAGGGCCACCCUUUACCACGGUUCAGAAAAACCUGGAACAUGGUAUCAUGAACCAAAGAAGUUUGGGUAAGGAAAUCGGAAACCUAGAAAGCAGAUUGGAGCAAGCAUCCACACAAGGAGUGUCCCACAAUUAUAGUGGAAUGAUGAACAAGGGGUAGGACAGCAUGGUGAUUCUAUGGACAAUCCUUCGAGGAAUGCCAUCUGUCUCACAGUGGUAGAAACACCAUUAUCUGUGAACUGUCCUGAUGGGAAGCCCAGAGUCUCAGGCAGGCCCCACUCACAGGUAGACCUGAACAGCCGAGUCAUGCUCUGGUCUCCACACAUCCUUACUGAACCCCAGGCUUCACUGGAAGCAGAGCAGCAAAGAAGGAGAGAAGAGAAGAAGCAGCUUAACAUCAGUGAGAAGCAGCUUGACUUCAGAGGGACGGCUUGAUGGUGGAAUCUCAGAGAGAGUUCAGCUGGGGACGGCCAGACUCCAGGAGAAGAUCACAUUCCCACUCCAUUCCCUUUCCAGCUCUCCAUCCCACUGACAGCCACUUUCAUCAGCAAUAAAAUCUCCUGAAUUUACCAUCUUCAACUCAUUUGUGUGACCCAAUUCUUCCUGGACACCGAACAAGAGCUCGAGAUACAGAGGGUUGUCACACUGAGCUGUUAAACACCUAAGCUGUCCACGGAUGGCAAAGCUAAAAGAGCACACUGUAAC
rnacentral:lncRNA from 1 species